rnacentral:rRNA from 1 species
UACGUAGGUGGCAAGCAUUGUCCGGAUUUACUGGGCGUAAAGAGCGCGCAGGCGGUCGUUCAAGUCGCGUGUGAAAGCCCCCGGCUCAACUGGGGAGGGUCACGCGAUACUGAUCGACUCGAAGGCAGGAGAGGGUAGUGGAAUUCCCGGUGUAGUGGUGAAAUGCGUAGAUAUCGGGAGGAAUACCGGUGGCGAAGGCGGCAUCCUGGACCGGCAUUGACGCUGAUGAGCGAAAGCCAGGGGAGCAAACAGG